UUUAAUUGAAGAGUUUGAUCAUGGCUCAGAUUGAACGCUGGCGGCAGGCUUAACACAUGCAAGUCGAACGGUAACAGGAAGAAGCUUGCUUCUUUGCUGACGAGUGGCGGACGGGUGAGUAAUGCUUGGGAAUCUGGCUUAUGGAGGGGGAUAACUACGGGAAACUGUAGCUAAUACCGCGUAAUAUCUUCGGAUUAAAGGGUGGGACCGCAAGGCCACAUGCCAUAAGAUGAGCCCAAGUGGGAUUAGGUAGUUGGUGGGGUAAAGGCCUACCAAGCCGACGAUCUCUAGCUGGUCUGAGAGGAUGACCAGCCACACUGGAACUGAGACACGGUCCAGACUCCUACGGGAGGCAGCAGUGGGGAAUAUUGCACAAUGGGGGAAACCCUGAUGCAGCCAUGCCGCGUGAAUGAAGAAGGCCUUCGGGUUGUAAAGUUCUUUCGGUGAUGAGGAAGGCAAAUAGUUUAAUAGACUAUUUGAUUGACGUUAGUCACAGAAGAAGCACCGGCUAACUCCGUGCCAGCAGCCGCGGUAAUACGGAGGGUGCGAGCGUUAAUCGGAAUGACUGGGCGUAAAGGGCACGCAGGCGGUGACUUAAGUGAGAU
rnacentral:rRNA from 1 species